rnacentral:lncRNA from 1 species
UGAAACCAAAAGAUAACACUCAACCAGUAAGGAGUUCGAAAUCAAAAUCAAAUAAGGAAAACAAACAAGAGAUGAAACAGAUUCAGCACAGAUCUAGAAUAAAAAUUUCUCAGAUUUUCGACAAACAAGAACAGAUCUAUCAGGUUUACACAAGUUAAUCAACAGAUCAGAUGAUAAACUGAUAGAAACAAUAGAUCUAACUCAACAACACCAAAAGAUGAACAGAUUCAGUACAGAUCUAGAAUAAAAAUUCUC